AGUGAACGCUGGCGGUAGGCCUAACACAUGCAAGUCGAACGGCAGCACAGGAGAGCUUGCUCUCUGGGUGGCGAGUGGCGGACGGGUGAGGAAUACAUCGGAAUCUACUCUGUCGUGGGGGAUAACGUAGGGAAACUUACGCUAAUACCGCAUACGACCUACGGGUGAAAGCAGGGGACCUUCGGGCCUUGCGCGAUUGAAUGAGCCGAUGUCGGAUUAGCUAGUUGGCGGGGUAAAGGCCCACCAAGGCGACGAUCCGUAGCUGGUCUGAGAGGAUGAUCAGCCACACUGGAACUGAGACACGGUCCAGACUCCUACGGGAGGCAGCAGUGGGGAAUAUUGGGCAAUGGGCGCAAGCCUGAUCCAGCCAUACCGCGUGGGUGAAGAAGGCCUUCGGGUUGUAAAGCCCUUUUGUUGGGAAAGAAAUCCAGCUGGCUAAUACCCGGUUGGGAUGACGGUACCCAAGGAAUAAGCACCGGCUAACUUCGUGCCAGCAGCCGCUGUAA
rnacentral:rRNA from 1 species